rnacentral:lncRNA from 1 species
UAAGGACAUAAAAAAUCCUUUCAUACUCAAGAAUAAUUCUCAAUUUUUAAUACCAACUAUCAAAGUUGGGUCUCAUAAGCUUAUCACCAUCUAACAGUGAUCGAACCGAUAAUGUGGCGGCCAUAAUUACAUUAAAAAAAAAAUAAAACCUAAUCAGUAUAUGAAUUGAUUAAGUCUAAAGACAUAGACUUUAGUCUAAAAGUUCUUCUACUAUUUCAUACGAAUUAUAAGUCUCUACCUCC